GAGUUCCAAAUGGUGAAGUUGAAAUCAUCCCUUCGUAAAUUUUACGGACGCCAUCACGAGUUGGUUGACCGUUAUGGAAUAACCGUUUCACAAAUGAUAUCGGAUAUAUUCCUUACGUCGUAACUACAAUCCCCUUCCCUUUCAUGAAUGUGACCUACCGAAUUAGACUAUUUACCGGAUUUGUUAUCACAUAAGCAACACGACGGGUGCCGCAUGUGGAGCAGGAUCUGCUUACCCUUCCGGAGCACCUGAGAUCACCCC
rnacentral:lncRNA from 1 species